rnacentral:rRNA from 1 species
UACGUAGGGAGCAAGCGUUGUCCGGAAUCAUUGGGCGUAAAGCGCGCGUAGGCGGCCCGGUAAGUCCGUUGUAAAAGUCGAAGGCUCAACCUUCGAAAGCCGAUGGAUACUGCCGGGCUAGAGUACGGAAGAGGCGAGUAGAAUUCCUGGUGUAGCGGUGGAAUGCGCAGAUAUCAGGAGGAAUACCCAUAGCGAAGGCAGCUCGCUGGGACGUUACUGACGCUGAGGCGCGAAAGCGUGGGGAGCGAACAGG